rnacentral:rRNA from 1 species
AGCAGCCGCGGUAAUUCCAGCUCCAAUAGCGUAUAUUAAAGUUGUUGCAGUUAAAAAGCUCGUAGUUGAAUUUCGGGGUUAGUAGGUUGGUCAUGCCUCUGGUAUGUACUGGUCUCACUGAUUCCUCCUUCCUGAUGAACCUUAAUGCCAUUUAUUUGGUGUUUUGGGGAAUUUGGACUGUUACUUUGAAAAAAUUAGAGUGUUUAAAGCAAGCUAACGCUUGAAUACAUUAGCAUGGAAUAAUGAAAUAGGACGUUCGAUCCUAUUUUGUUGGUUUCUAGGAUUGACGUAAUGAUUAAUAGGGAUAGUUGGGGGCAUUAGUAUUCAAUUGUCAGAGGUGAAAUUCUUGGAUUUAUUGAAGACUAACUACUGCGAAAGCAUUUGCCAAGGAUGUUUUCAUUAAUCAAGAACGAAGGUUAGGGGAUCGAAGACGAUCAGAUACCGUCGUAGUCUUAACCAUAAACUAUGCCGACUAGGGAUCGGAUGAUGUUAAUUUUUUAAUGACUCAUUCGGCGCCUUA